rnacentral:rRNA from 1 species
UACGUAGGCAGCGAGCGUUGUUCGGAGUUACUGGGCGUAAAGAGUGCGUAGGCGGUUUGUUAAGUCGGGUGUGAAAGCCCUCAGCUCAACUGAGGAAGGGCGCCCGAAACUGGCGAGCUUGAGUGUCGGAGAGGAUGGCGGAAUACCCCAAGUAGAGGUGAAAUUCGUAGAUAUGGGGUGGAACACCGGUGGCGAAGGCGGCCAUCUGGACGACAACUGACGCUGAGACGCGAAAGCGUGGGGAGCAAACAGG